rnacentral:rRNA from 1 species
GACACACGGCGGGUGCUAACGUCCGUCGUGAAGAGGGAAACAACCCAGACCGCCAGCUAAGGUCCCAAAGUCAUGGUUAAGUGGGAAACGAUGUGGGAAGGCCCAGACAGCCAGGAUGUUGGCUUAGAAGCAGCCAUCAUUUAAAGAAAGCGUAAUAGCUCACUGGUCGAGUCGGCCUGCGCGGAAGAUGUAACGGGGCUAAACCAUGCACCGAAGCUGCGGCAGCGACACUAUGUGUUGUUGGGUAGGGGAGCGUUCUGUAAGCCUGUGAAGGUGUGCUGUGAGGCAUGCUGGAGGUAUCAGAAGUGCGAAUGCUGACAUAAGUAACGAUAAAGCGGGUGAAAAGCCCGCUCGCCGGAAGACCAAGGGUUCCUGUCCAACGUUAAUCGGGGCAGGGUGAGUCGACCCCUAAGGCGAGGCCGAAAGGCGUAGUCGAUGGGAAACAGGUUAAUAUUCCUGUACUUGGUGUUACUGCGAAGGGGG